CCCGCCGCCGCGGGUCGCGGGCCCCGGAGGGCGUUUGUUCCAGGCCGGGCUGCGGCGGGAAGUCGGUCGCGAGAGGGCGCGUUCUCCCCGCGAUUGCGCAGAUUGCAGGGUACCAGGUGGGCCCGGUGUGUCGCCGAGAGCCAACCGGCGGUAGACCCAGCAGCCCUGCCUAACCUUGCUGAUUGCGAGCGGUAGCUAGAGGAUGUGCGACCUUGAACAGCAAGAACUGAAGCAGAGGAGAGGCAGAGAGAGAGGGAGACGGAGAAUUUGAAGCCAGCUCUGCCAACAGCAGAGAGUCGAAUGCGGGGCUCAAACCCAUGAACCAUGAGAUUAUGACCUGAGCUGAAGUCAGAUGUUUAACCAACUGAGCCACCCAGGUAUCCCCAAAUAA